CACAUGGGAAAUCAAGAAUGGAAGGAUGGUCACCUUUGGAGAUAAUGGCAAAGGAAAGAUCAUAUGUAUUGGUAAUAUUGGUAUCACUCCCUCCACUUGCAUUGAAAAUAUAUUACUUGUAGAUGGUCUUAAGUAUAAUCUUUUAAGUAUUAGUCAAUUAUAUGAUAAAGAUUAUAAAGUAGUUUUUGAAUCAUUUAUGUGUAUUGUAACUAGUCCCUC
rnacentral:lncRNA from 1 species